UACGGAGGAUCCGAGCGUUAUCCGGAAUCAUUGGGUUUAAAGGGUCCGUAGGCGGCCCCGUAAGUCAGCGGUGAAAUCUCCCGGCUCAACCGGGAAACUGCCGUUGAUACUGCGGGGCUUGAAUUGCCGGGAAGUAACUAGAAUAUGUAGUGUAGCGGUGAAAUGCUUAGAUAUUACAUGGAAUACCGAUUGCGAAGGCAGGUUACUACCGGCGUAUUGACGCUGAUGGACGAAAGCGUGGGGAGCGAAC
rnacentral:rRNA from 1 species